GGGUUGUGAGGUUAAGCGACUAAGCGUACACGGUGGAUGCCCUGGCAGUCAGAGGCGAUGAAGGACGUGCUAAUCUGCGAUAAGCGUCGGUAAGGUGAUAUGAACCGUUAUAACCGGCGAUUUCCGAAUGGGGAAACCCAGUGUGUUUCGACACACUAUCAUUAACUGAAUCCAUAGGUUAAUGAGGCGAACCGGGGGAACUGAAACAUCUAAGUACCCCGAGGAAAAGAAAUCAACCGAGAUUCCCCCAGUAGCGGCGAGCGAACGGGGAGCAGCCCAGAGCCUGAAUCAGUGUGUGUGUUAGUGGAAGCGUCUGGAAAGGCGCGCGAUACAGGGUGACAGCCCCGUACACAAAAAUGCACAUGCUGUGAGCUCGAUGAGUAGGGCGGGACACGUGGUAUCCUGUCUGAAUAUGGGGGGACCAUCCUCCAAGGCUAAAUACUCCUGACUGACCGAUAGUGAACCAGUACCGUGAGGGAAAGGCGAAAAGAACCCCGGCGAGGGGAGUGAAAAAGAACCUGAAACCGUGUACGUA
rnacentral:rRNA from 1 species